ACAAGAUCCCUCUCUAUGUGAUGCAAUUUGAUGACACGAGAUUGCUCAACUAAGGCAAACAACAAAUUAAGCUACUACUCUAGUCUCUUCUAUUGUUUAAUCGCUAGUCUCUUCUUUUGUUUAAUCAUCAUGUAUGAAACCAGAGGAUGAGAUGAAGAUCACAAGCUUGCUAAAAAGCCAACACCAGCAUAAAGUACUU